rnacentral:misc_RNA from 1 species
UAAGCAAUCUCGGCUGAUAGUAGUGGAUUGGCGGUCACACAGAAAGUUGGUGGAGCUGAAAACCAACCCAGAAAAUUCAUGAAUUACACAGCAAACUUUGAGAUCCGUCUCGAUAAUUAAGUUGGUGUUUUCCUUAAAAACACAAUCCGGGUGGUACCGCGGAGAAAUUCGUCCCGAUU